GACGAACGCUGGCGGCGUGCCUAACACAUGCAAGUCGAGCGAGUGAAUCUCCUUCGGGAGUGAAGCUAGCGGCGGACGGGUGAGUAACACGUGGGCAACCUGCCUCAUAGAGGGGCAUAGCCUUCCGAAAGGGAGAUUAAUACCGCAUAAGAUUGUAGCUUCGCAUGAAGUAGCAAUUAAAGGAGCAAUCCGCUAGGAGAUGGGCCCGCGGCGCAUUAGCUAGUUGGUGAGGUAACGGCUCACCAAGGCGACGAUGCGUAGCCGACCUGAGAGGGUGAUCGGCCACAUUGGGACUGAGACACGGCCCAGACUCCUACGGGAGGCAGCAGUGGGGAAUAUUGCACAAUGGGGGAAACCCUGAUGCAGCAACGCCGCGUGAGUGAUGACGGCCUUCGGGUUGUAAAGCUCUGUCUUCAGGGACGAUAAUGACGGUACCUGAGGAGGAAGCCACGGCUAACUACGUGCCAGCCGCCGCGGUAACAC
rnacentral:rRNA from 1 species